UGACAUUGCUCUUGGUGGUCUCUGAUGG
rnacentral:piRNA from 1 species